CUAAUAUCGAUACUGUAAUCCCUGGAAUAUUUGUUACAUAAAUAUUAAUCACAUAUAAAAUAUCUUCAAUAAUCAACUACCAUUACCGUGAUAAUGACUGCCAAUGAGUCUGCCACCGUGAUGUACUCUAAGAUGUCGAUGAAGAUUCGUUGUACCGCAUUGACGUGGAUUCGCU